UACGAGGGGGGCUAGCGUUGCUCGGAAUCACUGGGCGUAAAGGGCGCGUAGGCGGCCCGCGUAGUCGGGCGUGAAAUCCCCGGGCUCAACCCGGGGGCGGCGCCCGAUACGCGUGGGCUCGAGCGUGGGAGAGGGUCGCGGAAUUCCCAGUGUAGAGGUGAAAUUCGUAGAUAUUGGGAAGAACACCGGUGGCGGAGGCGGCGACCUGGUCCAUGGCUGACGCUGAGGCGCGACAGCGUGGGGAGCAAACAGG
rnacentral:rRNA from 1 species